UUCUAGUGAUGGGUCGUUCUUGAACGAUUCGUUCAUUUUGAACAAAUCUUCAAUAUGACUCGGGAACUACGAGUCCUCUCAGGGAGUGAUUCGUUCAUCCGCGCGUGCGCACAUUUGUGCAGGUGGUAUCGUUCAUUUCAAGUCUUUUGAGUCGUUCAUCGCGGAAAGGCAUACGCCAGUCAUUUGCGUUUAGAGCAGGUUUAGAGCCGGAAAGUGAAUUGAUCCGUUCAUCUCUCGAGUCCCCUAUCGGGUUUGAGUCAUUCGUUCCUCACGUCCAAUCAUAUGCGUUUAGAGCCGGAAAGAGAUUUGAUCCGUUCAGCACUCGAGUCCUCGUGUUUGAGUCAUUCUAUCGCGUGAUGAACGAACGACUUAAGAACCAGAAGACUCGAAAGGUGAACUAAUCAUCAUGGCUCCUGUCUGCUCAGACUGUGUACAUUGAUUAAGAUUAUAUGUGACUGUCAGAGUAACGUGAACGAACCACUGACAUUUGAAGACAUGAAGAGGUGAGCUGAGCAAAGAGACAAAAAUACCUUUAUAGACAAAAGAGCAGCUAAACCACGCCCUCGUUACGCGAUGGUUGCGCUUACGUAACGUCAACGUCUCAGUGCGGGAGAAGAGCGGGAGAAACUUCUGGAAGCAUUGAACUUCGGUGGGGGACGAGGCAAGCCGUGGAAGAGCAAUCUUAAUAAUCUACAUUUAUGCAGUGCAGGUACUGUAAAUACGCGUCUGCCAGUCAAAAUUUGCUGUUAAGACACUACAGGCUCAAGCACUGGUACCCAAGCCGACGUGUACCAUUGGUAUGUCUGUUCCCUGAGUGUGUCUGCACUUUCAAAACACCAGGUGCACUAAAAAGUCAUCUAUAUAGAGUCCACACAAAUUCUGAUAAAAGGACAGAGCAAGCCACAUUUAACUGUGACUUGUGUGAUUAUCACAAUGUUUGUUCUGAAAAAGUUUUUAUGCGGCAUCUGGGUACACACCUGAAAAGAAAUGAGACUGUACAAUGCCCGUUUCUGCACUGUAAUUUUCAGACCAAUGUCUAUGUUACAUUUCAUAGCCACAAGUCCAAACAUCACAAAACACAGACUGCAAGUGAUUAUAAGUCAUCAGUUGUAACUGUCAGUCGCGGAGAUUCCGAUAACUCACCAGAUUCAACUUCAGAGUGCUUUGAAGAUACAUCAGAUAAAGAAAUAGAAUCAGAAGCCGAUGAAGUUGAUGUUGACCAAAUUCUUGAGAAGAAAUUGGCGUGUCUGUUUCUUUGUAUGCAGACAGAAUUGGGUGUAUCUAGAAAUGCUACAAAGCAGAUUUUCCAUUGUCUCAAUGAAAUACAAAUUCUUUCUAAACCAUCCAUAGAAAAGGUAAUUCAAGAUAUUUUAUGCAACCAUAACUGUAAUGUUGAGCAGUCAGUAAUCACAGAAAUCACUGAGGCUGUGCACAGGAUAAAUCCUCUUUAUGCUACCACUGAAAAGGGAACCUUGUCUACUGAUUAUAAACGGAACAUUUAUUUCAAACAACAUUUUGAUGUUGUUGAACCAGUUGAGUUUGUGUUCAGUAGACCAAAAAACAAAACCUUUGUGUAUGUUCCGAUUCUUGAGGUCUUGAAAAAGUUUCUAAGCACUAGUGAGAUAAGUCAGAAGACUUUUUCUAAUACUUCCACAAAUGGCUUUUAUGCAUCUUGUUUUGAUGGCCAGCACUUUAAAGAGCAUCCUUUGCUCUGUGCUGAGAAUUUCUCUAUAUCACUUGGCCUGUAUAUUGAUGACUUUGAAGUUGCCAAUCCAUUGGGAACUUCGCGUAAAAAACACAAGAUUACAGCAGUCUACUGGGUGAUUCUGAACUGGCCCUCCCAAUUCAGAACAAAUUUGCACUCUAUUCAACUAGCCCUGUUGGGUAAGAGUUGUGAUGUAAGAGAAUAUGGCUAUGACAUGUUUUUUGAGCCAUUAAUGAAGGAUAUACAGACACUUGAGAAGGAGGGUUUGUAUUUAGAUCAGUUUGGGGAAAAUUUCAAAGGAACUGUUGUGACUGUGUCUGCAGACAAUCUAGGGGCACAUGGCCUGGCGGGAUUCCAGGAAUGUUUUCAUGUUGGCAAGUUCUGUAGGUUUUGUCUUGCUUCUUUUCAGGACAUACAGACAUCUAGUGUGAGCAAGGGACAUUUUCCCCUAAGAAAUAUUCAACAGCACAAUCAGUUUGUUGAGGAAUUGAAAGCAAACCCAGCUUUGUCAAAUGUGCAGGGGGUAAAAGGUGAAUGUGUCUUGCAGUCUCAUCUCGAUUGGUUUCAUCCAGUAACCGGAUUUCCGCCCGAUCCGUUGCACGAUUUGUUUGAAGGAAUUGUGCCAUUUGAGUUGUCUUUGUGUCUCCAGAAGCUAAUAGCUGAAAAGUAUUUCACUCUUGACCAGUUGAAUGGUACAAUUCAAUCUUUCCCUUACUGCUUUUCUGACAAGGUGAACCGCCCUCAAAAAAUACCCAAAUCAUUUUCCUCCAAAAAAUCAAUUGGUGGAAAUGGACAUGAAAAUUGGACCCUGAUUAGGCUCCUACCACUCAUGAUUGGUCACAUUGUUCCAGAAACUAAUAAAGCAUGGCAACUUUUGAUGGAACUGAAAGAUAUAGUUGAGCUUGUUGUUUCACCCAAAUUUUCAGAGGACAGUCUUUCCUACCUGGAGACUAAAAUAUCAGACCAUCGCAGCCUUUUUCAAGAAGUGUUUCCAAAUGAAAAAUUAAAACCAAAACACCAUUUCCUGGAACACUACCCAGACCUCAUACGCUACUUUGGUCCUUGUGUGGAGUUGUGGACAAUGCGGUUUGAGGCUAAGCAUAGUUUCUUUAAACGAGUUGUCCAUAACACACACAAUUACAAAAACAUAUUACAGACAUUGUCUACCCAGCACCAACUGAUGGUUGCACAUGCCCUGCAGUCUCCCAACUUCUUCACACAGUCCAUUCAUGUUGAAAAAUUAAACGUUUUGAAGAUGUCCUCUCUAGAAAGACGGGUGAAAAUAGCUGUAGAGAAAAAGUUUUCCAACCUUAAAACUGUAUCUCUUGCGUCAAAUGCUGUGAUGCAUGGGACCUCAUACUCCAAAGAUAUGAUGGUGUCAGUUGGACUCUGUGGUGGCUUGCCAGAGUUUGCAAAGAUCUGGUGCAUUUUGUUAGUGGACAGUGAGGUCUCAUUUGUGCUGGAGAGAUAUUCUUCUUGGUAUGUAGAACAUCUUGGGGCCUUUAAGGUUGAAUCUCUACCAUACGAAGAUCUGAUUGUUACUGAGCUGAGGUGUUUACAUGACUUCUAUCCACUUGUAGCCUACAGUAUUGGAAGAAACCUCAUGGUGACACCGAAACGUUUUUUGUUACAUUAAAGUGAAUUUGUCCUCUAAAACUGAUAGAGGCAUUAACAUAAGCACACAAGUUAACAUGAUUACUCAAAUGUUUUUUUAAUUUCAGAAGAACAAUGUUGCUGCGAGUGAUUGUAGCUCCAGAUUGCAUACAAAAGCUGUCACUUAACGAUGUGCCGAAAUCAGUUGAUGAGCUAAAAGAGAUACUUUGCAACAAACUGAAAAUUACUACAAACUUUGUGAUCCAGUAUGAGGACCCUGAUUUUGGUGGUCAGCUUUGCAAUUUGAGUAGCAUAGAAGAACUUCCUCCUGAUAAGGCCACGCUAAAAAUUUUCUGGGAAGUGUUAAAAACAGCAUCAGAAACUGAAACAGAAGAACAAAGAAAUGAGAGCUCUGCAUCUAACUCUGAUUUUACACUUGACACUGCAAGUAUUUCGUCCAAUCUCUCCAGUCCAUCAUCUUCCACAGUCAGAGAAGAACGCUGGCCACAAGUUUUUGUGAUACCAAAAUUUUCUUAUGAUGUUGAGUUCAGACUGAGGAAAGCAAAUGAAGUCUAUGAAAAACAGAAGACUACCAUGGAUGUUACACGAGAUGUGAAGACUGAAAUACUGGAAACGUUGGCGGAAACAAUGUACUCUUUUAAAGCUUACCCCACUGAUCCAGAAUUGGAGCAAGUGGCAGUUGCAUUAGUUUCCACACAUCCAUGUUUGAGGGAACUUGGCUGUGACACCGGAUGCAAGGGCUGGAAGAUGAGUUUAAGAUUUAAAAUGGGAAAUUAUAGACAAAAAUUACGCAGUUCUGGAUGUUUUGAGCUAGAUAAUAAAAGAAAUGAUGGAUCAAGAAUUCCACCAAAGAAACCAAGAAGAUCAGAAAUCAACUUUCUUCCAGACAAUCCUGUUGGCUUGGAUGAUGCUACAUUGGAGCAAGAAAGAGAACAGCUUGAGCUAGAAGUCAAGAGAAAGAACAUGGAUAUGGCAAUUCUGAAAACCAAGAUGGAAACUACUUUCCCGCUCAGAAGAAAAGAAAUUAUUACUGAGCAGCCCUUGGUACAUGUGGUCAAAAACAGAUGGCCUGGCCUGUUUUUGCAAGAGCAGGUUUGUGCCGAGUUCCAAAGGAUCACUUGUGUUGACCUCAAAAAAUCAUUCAUGGCGAAUCUCCACAAACACAGCAAUGCCCUGAUCAAACUGUAUCGAACAAAGUGCAAAGACCUUGCAGACAACAUGAAAAUGAUACUGGACCAUUUUGAUAAUCAGACAACAGACAUCAUAAUUCACAGAGCAACUACUGCUCUACAGGGACUUCCCUUGUACCUCAGGGAAUAUGACAAAAUAACCAAGACUUGUCUGGACACUGAUUUGGAGGAGACCUACACUAGAGGAGUGAAUUUGGCCAUCCUUGAAGUGAUGGAAGAUGACCUCUCACAGGCAACAAAGAGAUGUAUAAACUUUGGCAUCAUCCUGGAGGAAACUGUGGUCAUGGAUGAUCUACCAGACUUUUCCACUGCUUUUAUGGUACUCUUUGGACUUCUUUACGCACUGAAUAUUGAGUACCCUAAGGGGCUAAAAUACACAUUUGAGGCAGUGCAGAAUAUCUUUGUAGGACUGGGAGUAAAGUCCACAAACAGAGUGCAGUCCCUGAAGAACAAGCUUUUUGCUUUGUAAGAGUUGUAAGAUGCUUGAAGAAAGGUGCUUUUCUUGUGUACCUUUUGCAUUACAUUGUUGUUUGACUAGAUGUGACUGCAUGCUGUGGACUUGUGCGUUUGGAAAUUAAGACAUGCAGUCUUUUUUUUUUUGUUUCCUUAAUACCUUAAAAAAGUGUUAAUGGGUAAACUUGCUCAGUUUGUGUGAGCAAGGGACUUUCACCUUACAGUAUGUUCUUACUGUAUUACAUGCCACUUAGGCACACAGUUUAUAUUUGGUGGCAUUGUUAAAAUGUUUGCUGUAGUUACACUACCUCGUUUUUGUACUUUAGUGAAGUACUGCAAGAAAAUAAAUG